CAAAAGCUUUAGCUUUGAGAAAAGGCGUAGCUUUUGUGCGUCGCUGACCGAAAAUCUCAACCGCUCUCAUCCUAGCAGGGAAGGAAGAUGGUUGGAAGCCUCCUUGCUGUAUUCUCACUUGAGCAAGAAGCAAGAUCUCACCUACCUCCUGUAAGGACACAGAUCUCAUCAUGAGGACUCUACUCCUGUAACCCAAUCAGCCUGCCAAGGCCUCCACUCCAAGUGCCUACACACUGAGGGUUAGUGGGAGGAAGGGACACACUCAUUCCACAGCAGGGAGCUGCAUGCUACUCCUCCCUGGAGAGUGAUCGUUCUCUGAAGGCAAUUCUCCAAGUACUGACUUAAUUGUGGAAAAUAAAGAUUUUUAUUAUCUUCCCACUA